rnacentral:rRNA from 1 species
AACGAACGCUGGCGGCGUGGAUAAGACAUGCAAGUCGAACGGGAUUAUUUUUGUAGCAAUACAGAAAUAAUUCAGUGGCGAACGGGUGCGUAACACGUGGGCAAUCCGCCGAAAAGUGGGGGAUAGCUCGCCGAAAGGCGAAUUAAUACCGCAUGUGGUGAGGGACGACAUCUUCCUGAAUCCAAAGCCGGGGCAACCUGGCGCUUUUUGAGGAGCCCGCGGCCUAUCAGCAGUUGGCGGGGUAACGGCCCACCAAGGCUAUGACGGGUAGCUGGUCUGAGAGGACGACCAGUCACACUGGAACUGAGACACGGUCCAGACACCUACGGGUGGCAGCAGUCGAGAAUUUUUCNCAAGUGGGGGAAACCCUGAAGGAGCGACGCCGCGUGGAGGAUGAAGGCUUUCGGGUGUAAACUCCUGUCAUUUGAGAAACAAGGUGCGAGUUAUUAACUGUGCUCGC